GAGAAGUUGAUCUGCGAUAGGCGAUUUCAGCUUGAGGGAGCGAUGAUGGAGGGAAAGAACUUCCAUGAUUUCUUUAUCAGCAAACGAAGACGGAAAGUGCAGCGGGGAAGCUUGAGAAAUCUCACGGAUAAGAGAAAAAAUCUGAAGUUUGAUCCAGUGCAGAGUAACCUGUUUCCCUUCAGAGGGCAAGCGAAUGAAAGGGGGCACCGGAUCCGUUGUUCGUUCACCUUCCAGUAUCCGUUCUGUGCUUGAGGACGGGCAGGCAGCCCGCAUACAUGAAGAGAAGAAGAGUAUGUAAGCAUGCAUACUCAUUGUCCCAAAAUUUGGAACCUAUCAGUGAGGGACUAGGUGUUUUACAAUUUAAGACCGGUUUGAUAUCUGUCAUUAAGGACUGGAUGCAUCUUUGAUUUCAGUUUAUUGCAUAAAAUUUCCUGUUGUCAACUAUUUCCUAUGGCAAUUGCUGCUGCUGCUUAAUGAAAUACUAUCAUGAUCAUUUUACUCAAAAAUUUUUCUUCAAUCUGUAAUUCUUUUUAAAAAUUGAAAGUGAGAUUUACAGCUAAAACUACCAGAGGAAUCAAGAGACAAUAUCCUAUUGUCAGUGGUUAGAAGACAGAAAAAUCAUCAAGGAUACCUAAGAGAGCCAAAGGUUGAAAGGAUUCCCUAUCAUUAAGGUUACGAAAGAAAUGGAAGUCCCAAGAGAAAGACAAACCCAGGAUUGAAUCCGCAAUGAUAAAGACAAGGAAAGGCUAGGUUUAAAGAGGUAUCUCCUAUCAAAUGAUCUGCUCAAAACCCACAAAAAUUAUGAUAAUACUACAACAUAGAAUAGCUAGACAAUUCCCAACUAGACACAACACUUUAAACAUAAAAAUGAUAAGAAAGGGA